UGAUCCGGGGAUUUCCGAAUGGGGGAACCCAGUUGGGGUCAUGCCCAGCUACUGCCGGCUGAAUAAAAUAGGCCGGUUGGAGCCAACGGGGUGAACUGAACCAUCUAAGUAACCCUAGGAAGAGAAAGAAAAAUCGAUUUCCUGAGUAGCGGCGAGCGAAAGGGAAACAGCCCAAACCGGUGUGUACGUUAAGCGUGCGCGCGUUGUACAUCCGGGGUUGCGGGGCUCAUUUGGACUGCCGCGCACGGCGGUCGGGGAGUCAAAAACCGUGUUUCUAGCCGAAGCGACUGGAAAGUCGCGCCAUAGAGGGUGAGAGUCCUGUAGGCGAAAGGAAUGCGGCUCCCUGAUUUGAGUUCCCAAGUACCGCGGGACACGUGAAAUCCUGUGGGAAACUGGAGGGACCACCCUCCAAGGCUAAAUACUCACUGGCGACCGAUAGUGAACUAGUACCGUGAGGGAAAGGUGAAAAGUACUCCUGGCGGAGAGUGAAAUAGUACCUGAAACCAUACGCUUACAAGCGGUCGGAGCCAUAUCCGGGAUCCUUCGGGAACCCGGUGAGGUGACGGCGUGCCUUUUGCAUAAUGAUCCGGCGAGUUACCUUAUGUGGCAAGGUUAAGGAGUUCAGCUCUGAAGCCGUAGCGAAAGCAAGUCUUAACUGGGCGAUUAGUCGCAUGGGGUAUGACCCGAAACCAGGUGAUCUACCCAUGGCCAGGUUGAAGCGCAUGUAACAGUGCGUGGAGGACCGAACCCACUGAAGUUGAAAAUUCAGGGGAUGGGCUGUGGGUAGGGGUGAAAGGCCAAUCAAACCUGGCGAUAGCUGGUUCUCCCCGAAAUAACUUUAGGGUUAGCCUCGGGCUAAUAUGUGGCGGGGGUAGAGCACUGAUUGGGCUAGGGGGCCUCCAAGCCUACCAACCCCAGUCAAACUCCGAAUACCGCACACAGGUACCCCGGGAGAUAGGGCGCGUGGGAUAAGCUUCGCGUCCGAGAGGGAAAGAACCCAGACCGCCAGCGAAGGCCCCAAAGUUCAGGCUAAGUGGACUAAAGGAUGUGGAACUGCACAGACAGCUAGGAUGUUGGCUUAGAAGCAGCCACCAUUUAAAGAGUGCGUAACAGCUCACUAGUCAAGUGAUUCCGCGCCGAAAAUACUCGGGACUCAAGCCUGACGCCGAAGCUGCGGACUCGUUGAUCCUUCGGGUGAAGCGAGUGGUAGGGGAGCGUUCUGUACUGGUAGAAGGUGAUCUGACAAGGAUUGCUGGACGGUACAGAAGUGAGUAUGCCGGAACGAGUAGCGAGAAAAUGGGCGAGAAACCCAUUCACCGAAAGCCUAAGGUUUCCUGAGGAAGGUUAAUCCGCUCAGGGUUAGUCGGACCCUUAGCCGAGGCCGAAAGGCGUAGGCGAUGGAAAACAGGCUAACAUUCCUGUACCACUGGUGAGGCGUUUGACCUAUGGGGUGACGCAGAAGUGAAAGGCCAGCCGGGUGUCGGUUAUCCCGGUCUAAGCAAGUAGGGAGUUUCUCCAGGCAAAUCCGGAGAGACAAUCCCGAGAUGCGAUGGGGAGGGCAUUAAGCCCAUAAACUGGCCCUAAUCAUGCUGCCGAGAAAAACCUCUAUGGGAGUCGAUCCGGUGCCCGUACCGUAAACGGACACACGUAGGCGGGGUGAGAAUCCUAAGGUGCUCGAGUGAUUCUUCGCGAAGGAACUCGGCAAAAUGACCGCGUAACUUCGGGAUAAGCGGUGCCCAUCUGGGCGAAGGACUUCGCGUCCGGAGUUUGGGUGGGCCGCAGAGAAAUGGCCCAGGCGACUGUUUACUAAAAACAUAGGUCUCUGCUAAGUCGAUGAGGCGAUGUAUAGGGACUGACACCUGCCCGGUGCCGGAAGGUUAAGGGGCGGGGUUAGCAUGAUUUAUUGUGCGAAGCUCUAAACUGAAGCCCCGGUAAACGGCGGCCGUAACUAUAACGGUCCUAAGGUAGCGAAAUUCCUUGUCGGGUAAGUUCCGACCUGCACGAAUGGCGUAACGAUCUGAGCAUUGUCUCGAGGGUGGUCCCGGUGAAGUUGUAUUACCAGUGAAGAUGCUGGUUACCCGCAAAAGGACGGAAAGACCCC
rnacentral:rRNA from 1 species